GAGUAAGGUCCUAAUUAAGUAACCACCUUUCAUGCUUUCCUAGACACCAAUUAGAUCAAUGAAUCUAAUAUGACUCGCUCAUGUUGGUUCACUCUCGACUUGAUUGAGGAGGUUUUAGUUUAAGUCUCAUUGGGUUUGCUACAUCACAUGUAAACCUAUCUACCCCGCUCUCAUUUACAUCACAUGCAAACGGCACAUCGCAGGCAGUUAUAAUCGCAGCAAUAAAUAAAGCUAAACUUUAAAUAGGUGAUGAUCAUGGAUUCUAAUUAGGUCAUAUUACAAGCACAUGCACGUCAAUCGAUCAACUGGUCUUCAACUCUU
rnacentral:lncRNA from 1 species